rnacentral:rRNA from 1 species
GAUCACUGCUAUCGGAUUGAGAUUAAGUCAUGCAAGUCUAGGCGACUAGUUCGCCUGGCGAACUGCUCCGUAACGCGUAGAUAAUCUACCCUUAGGUAAAGUAUAACCCCGGGAAACUGGGUAUAAUCCUUUAUAGAUGCUUUGUACUGGAAUGGCUAAGCAUUAAAAGCUUCGGCGCCUAAGGAUGAGUCUGCGUCCGAUUAUGCUUGUUGGUGGUGUCAAGGACCACCAAGGCUACGAUUGGUACGGGCCAUGAGAGUGGUAGCCCGGAGAUGGUCACUGAGAUAACGGACCAGGCCCUAUGGGGUGCAGCAGGCGCGAAAACUGACCAAUGCGCGAAAGCGUGAGUCGGUCAAUCCGAGUGUAGACCCAUCGGUUUACUUUUAUCAUGUGUACAAAGCUUGGUGAAUAAUGUGAGGGCAAGACUGGUGCCAGCCGCCGCGGUAAAACCAGCUCAUAGAGUGGUGAUCAUGAUUAUUUGGCUUAAAGUGUGCGUAGCAGGGAAUUCUAAGUCCUCUGUGAAAUGUCAGGUCUUAAGCUUGACACGUGCAGAGGAUACUGGAAUCCUUGGGACCGGGAUAGGUGUAAUGUACGGUUUGGGUAGGGGUGAAAUCCGAUAAUCCAAGCCGGACAACCGGUGGCGAAGGCGUUACACUGGAACGGGUCCGACUGUGAGGCACGAAAGCUAGGGUCGCGAGCCGGAUUAGAUACCCGGGUAGUCCUAUGCUGUAAACGAUGCUCACUAAGUGUUAGGUAAUGCAAGACAUUCUCUAGUGCCGAAGCGAAAGCGUUAAGUGAGCCGCCUGGGAAGUACGUUCGCAAGAAUGAAAC